UCAGGCUGAAUUUAUUAAAGGAAUAUUCUCUAUUUGAUGUGCCACGUUCUGUGCGGUUCUGUUUUCUGCACUGAUUCACACACAUCUGGAUUCAAACCCAGAUAUGAGGCAGAAGGGGACGUUCAAAGGCUGUGGGGAUGCCGCCCCGAAGCUUAUCCUUCAUCCAACCCACUCUCCCACCUCUGUCCUGCUGAGGCCCAGAGAAAGCUCCUUCCACAAGGCUGGUGUGGUAAACACGCCUUUAGAAAGUCUCCCAUCCACGCUCAGGAAGAUCUGAAAGCAAAACGCCUUGAUGAGAAGGGAGGACUUGGCAUCAGGAAAAGAUUGCUUUCCCCGCGCAAAAUACUGAUGUUCAGUAAUACUGAACCACAGAAAAUCCAGGCAAUGAAUUAGAAGACCAACUAAGGAAAUUUACCCAGAAUUCUGAGGAAAAGGAUAAAGAGAUGAAUAGAAGGUUUUUGAAAAUUAAGAGACUUGAAGGAAGAUUGGAAAGAUCUCCAGCACAACAGGAAAGCCAGAUGGCAAGAAGAAAGCGAUGGGAGAAAACUAAGCUGAGGCAGAGAAGAGUGCAGAGAGACCUGAAGGGGACAGCCAGGCACCAGGCGAGAUUAAUGAAGAGGGACACCCCCCCCGCCCCCGCCCCAGCAGGAGACAUACUACAAACGUCUGAAUCCAAAGCACCCAGGCCAGCUUCGAGCAGGUGUUCCCCGGCCAGUGGCUGGAGGGCAAGCAGUGACCUGGCCUCCCCCCUAGCCACAGGCACAAAGCAGGUGCUCGUGGGGCGCUGGCUAGAUGUCACGGGGAAACAGGCCCUGACGAGGGCGAGGGCGGCAGGAAGGAGUGGACGGGAGUGAGUCAGGCCUAUCCGUGUGCAGGCAGAACCUGUGGUCAGCGGUGGAGCCAACUCCCUGAGAGUGAACUUUUUAAGGAAGAAACUAGCCAAAGGUCAACAAUUCAACUGCCUGGGGAGCCGGAGAGGUAAGUAAAUGUCUGUGAAAGGCAGACCCCCUGAAAAAUAUUCGUACUCAAAGGCCCCAUGAAAACAUUCUUACUCAAAAAAUUUUGAGACGCUGCAGAAGACCAAUGAGGUUGGCCAAUGUGUGUCCUCUGGACUGUCCAUUUUACAAAGACAUACGACAUACUCAGUGUCACUUCACACUCAGCUCUGUUCAUUCACUGGUCAGACGUUUCUCAUCCUUGGGUAUAACCCUGACAAUUACAGUCUGAAUGGCCCGUGUGCUUACUAUUUGAUGAAAUCAAAUUACUCUCCUUGCUGAAACAUUCCUCCACGUUAGAUGGCUAAGCCACCGGGAGGCGACCUCACAAUGUUUGUCAUGGUAUUAGGUAGGGGUGUUUAUUGAAGGUCUACCGUGAUCAUUUGUGAGCCCGGAUUAAUUUUGCUAAAUUUAGCUUUUCAAGCACUGCUCCUGGUACAUACACAAUUAGGCACGGCAUUUUUUACAGGUAAAAGUGACCUCAGUGUUGUCAAGGAUAAUACAAUCGCCUCAAUAUUACACAAAUAUUUUAAAAGUCUGAAGAGACAUUUUUUUGGGAAUAAUGGUCAAAGCUGACCAUUUCACCUAAAUAUGAAAUGAAACAGAAACCUUUAGGUCAGUUACCAGUCUGCAUUCUUUUCAUGCCAGGGCAAAGGCUAGACUUGUAUUUUAGUUAUUGUUUCCCUUUGUCUGAGUAUCUUACGCAUCCUUAUUUGGAAGUUUUCCUUUCUGGCCUGCAAUUGGAAAAAAAAAAAAAAUAGUACUCUGUAGAACUUCAAAAUGCUUUCUAGUCUGGCCGCCAUGUAUGACGAAAUCAUACAGUUCUAAAAGGUGGAAGGGACAUCGUAGAUGGAGCUCAAGCCCUUUACGCACAUGAAAACCCAUCAAGGUCAAAAAAGAAGAGACGAGCCUGAACGUGUGCCUCUGAAUCCCCUGUUUUGUCUAAUACUCCCAGAAAAACAAUCACCUAGAAAAAAAUGGAGUUUGUUUAUUUCACGUAAUCCACUUAUAAUCAAGCCUCAUCAGCCGUCUCUUGCGGUAUCAGUCCCUUCAAGCUGACCGCACACGGCCUCAAAUCUGAAACCCUCACAUCGACUCUUACAGCCUUGAGUGGUACAGGACAUUAAAAUUUCUCGAGGGGGCACCAUCACAUUAGUGAAGCUUCCCAUAAAUCCUGGCCCGCAGCACGCGCCCGCGUUCUGUCCUUCCUUGCUCCCCCCGGACCUCACUCUUCCCUGCAUUCCUCCGCUUCACCUUCCCUUCUCCUCGCACAUCCGUCCCCUGCGCCUCACCUUCUCCUGCACCUAGUGCCUCCUCUCUCGCUUCCUCCCAGCCUGGCCCUGCAUGGGUCCCGAGGCUGAAAGAAGCCUAAAUGUAUCUGCUUCUCACAACCCCCUGGCUCAGCCUGACCAAGCCCUGGGGGCCAGUCAGCAAGCAGGGCAAACAAAGGAUCCUGUCCAGCUUCGGAGAAAGGAAGCCUACCAGGUGCGGAAGGGUCUACCUGAGGAGGUGACAUCAGGGCUGAAGAAGCCUGAAAGGAUGAAAAGUAGGAUGAAGGUAACAUUUAUCUUGCAAAUGGCAUUUUUGAAAAUGAAAAUAAUAGGCGUGCACUGACCCGCAACAGGUGUUCACUGGGACUUAGCCUGGACAAGGGGGACUUCUGGUCGACCUGCAGAGGAGUCCGUGGACCAGUUCUGUGAGAGGAGCAUCCGGGCACAGGGCAAGGAGAAGGGGCACGGGGUGGUUGCCGGGAGGCCCGUGCAUCUCAGGGGAGGGCUGAGGCGAGGGGACGGCGUGUGCCCACGCCCGCGUGUGCGAAAAUACUUUAUCUCACCAGGAUGGCACUGUACAGCCGGAGAUACUCGGCCCCCUGAGAUGCUGUCCUCAACCAGCGGAACAGAAAGAGGUCUCCGGAGAAGCUAAAACUGUCUGUGCCCAAACUUCACACCUUUUUGUUGAUCAGGAGAAGCCCUUCUGGUUUAGACACGGUUCUGGCUGCUUUCGUUACUGGUUUCCAGGCACACGGGGACUGAGGAUGAGUGAGGGGAGUCCAGCAUGCGGACAUGGACGGACCAAAGCCAUCAAGAGGUCCCCAGCACCAUCCCCACCCCACCCCCGGAGUCCAGGCUGGUAACAGAACCAGUACUGUGACAGUAAAGGAAAAGCAGGAUUGUCCAUAAUGCCUCAAGGACUAUCUUGUAUCUAAAGUGGUUAGCAUAAGGCUCCGGAUACGAGAAUUUAGGACAAACCAGAGGACAUUUUAACGUGCAGCUUCCACGAAAAUGUAACCACCGCUCCAAUUACUGUUGUCUCCUUGAUUUUCAUUCCUUCUUCUUUCUUAAUCACCUACAACUACUGGUUUUGAAAACCCUCACCAGGGCAUAAAGCACAAAAGCAGAAUGCCACAGAAAGUCAGGAUGUCAGGGAAGGUGUGAGGGGCACGUGGACACACAAACACACGCAAGCAAACAACACCCACACACAAACGUAACCUGCAAAGAGAGACUGUCUCAUCAUGUCUCUGGUCCGGCCUAUAACUAACUGCACGUAACACGCGCAAUGGAAUGUACUCAGAUUGAAGGAAGGGCAGAGCGGAAGAGACCAAAACGCGACUAUAAACAGAUAAUUUUCAGAAUAGUUCUAGGACCACUUUGAAUGGACUCCUUGUUUAUCUGUGAAAAAAUCAGAAGGUUAGACUGCUGAUAAUUUAACCUUCAAGAUUUUUUUUUUUUUUAAUUUGGCUGCUGGUAGAGAGAAAAGCAGGACCAAUUAGAGGAAGAAAAAUGAAUUCUCUGGCAGAUAAAACAAAGGGGAUUUUUCAAGGGCUUGGGAGGCUGUUGGCACUGGUUCUUCAUUGGAUAGAGUUUCAGGUCAAAAUGUAUGACUUUACCUUUCCAGGUUUAUCAUAACCCCUAAUCUGAACACUUAUCCAUAAUUAGGUUCAAUUUGGAACACGGAGCUGGAGAGGGGAGGAGCGUGAAGAAGCGAAGGGAAAAAAAAGACUAAUUUUUCCAAAGUAACGGAGCAGAGGUUAAAAACAAUGAAGGGGGCAGGUCACUGGAAAGAGGGUAUCUACGAAUAGGUGGGAAUUGUGAAAAGCCACAGGGAGAUACUGCCCGUGGCCUGUUGGGCCUCUGACAGGGGUGGCUCCCCGUGCCCGGCCCCAUGGGAGUCGCUGGCCCGGGAUAUCAGGGUUAUCUUUGUAGUGGUGUGGAAUGUGGAAAAUCUCUUUCUGUGAAACAAGCUUUUCUGAAGUUCAUACCAGUAAGUGAUUUUUUUUUUUUUUUAAAUCUCGGUUUUAAAUAUGUGGCCAACCACAUCGAUUUUAAAAUAUAAAGCCUACCUUCUCCUGAGAAUUAAAAAAUUUCCAGGAAAUACAAGGGGCGGCUGCCAUCAAUUCAUUACAGCCGGGCUGUUCGCUAGGGCCUCUGGGGAGUGUUGGGGGCUGUGGAGAUGAGAUGAGGGGGGCAAGUAAGUGUUCUCGGGUAGUUCUCCCUCCGCUGGAGAACAAACCGUCCUACGACGUCCACGUGAAGGCCGGGCACCAGAGGGCAUCGAAGGCCAAGUCAGAAGUGGGCCGGCCGACUGGGGAAGUGGCAUCUCCUGACGCUGAGCAGCAGGGGUGAGGCCAGGCCAAUGGGACGGGUCUGGUAGAAGGACGGUCCCAGGGGACUGCUUUGUCAUGGGAGUGCGACAUCUUCAUGAGGAGACGCAGAAACCUUCAAAAUGCUCGGCGCCUUCAUGAUGCUUCUAGGAUACGACCACACAGGCUGGUCUCAUCUGACUGGAGCCAUAUCAAACUUUUUAAAAAAGUAAAACAGAGUUCAACUGGCUAGAAAGCUCAUACCUAAAGCACAUCUGGGUGACAAGCUCAACAAAGAAAACCCCAGUCUCCCCCACCCACAAAAUACCUGACUUAGAAAGUUUAAGUCUAAAAAAAUCAUAGGGAUACCUGGCUGGCCCAGUCAGUGGAGCACAAGACUCCUUAUCUCAGGGUCGUGAGUACGAGCCCCAUGGUGGGCAUAGAACUUACUGAAAAAAGAGUCUAAAAACAUAAAAUCAUAGGAUAUUAAAGUUAUCAGAAACUUCAGAGCUAACCUUGCACGCACACCCUUUUACCCAUAUAAGGCAACAAGGAACCAAUAAAAACUUAACAAUAAUUCAUCUUUCAUGUUAAAAAAAAACAAAACAAAACCAAAAGGGGUAUUAAGGAAAAUGCGACCUAAAAUGGGAUUAUAAGAGGAAAAUUUUUUUUAAGUUUAUUUAUUUUCAGAGAGAGAGCGAGCGAGCUCAAGUGCAAGUG